UACGUAGGGGGCUAGCGUUGUCCGGAAUCAUUGGGCGUAAAGCGCGUGUAGGCGGUCCGGUAAGUCCGCUGUGAAAGUCGGGGGCUCAACCCUCGGAUGCCGGUGAUACUGUCGGGCUUGAGUACGGAAGAGGCGAGUGGAAUUCCUGGUGUAGCGGUGAAAUGCGCAGAUAUCAGGAGGAACACCAAUUGCGAAGGCAGCUCGCUGGGACGUUACUGACGCUGAGACGCGAAAGCGUGGGGAGCAAACAGG
rnacentral:rRNA from 1 species